GAAAUGCGAUAAGUAAUGUGAAUUGCAGAAUUCAGUGAAUCAUCGAAUCUUUGAACGCAACUUGCGCUCUUUGGUAUUCCGAAGAGCAUGCCUGUUUGAGUGUCAUGAAAUCUCAACCAUUAGGGUUUCUUAAUGGCUUGGAUUUGGGUGUUGCCAGCUUGUCUGGCUCGCCUUAAAAGAGUUAGCAAACAUAACAUUGUUGUCUGGUGUAAUAAGUUUCACUGGUAAGACGUGUGACUGUAAGCUUCUAAUCGCCCUUGGGCAAUUUUUUGACUCUGGCCUCAAAUCAGGUAGGACUACCCGCUGAACUUAA
rnacentral:misc_RNA from 1 species